UACGGAGGAUUCAAGCGUUAUCCGGAUUUACUGGGUGUAAAGGGCGUGUAGGCGGGAUGGUAAGUCAGAUGUGAAAACUAUGGGCUCAACCCAUAGCCUGCAUUUGAAACUAUCGUUCUUGAGUGUUGGAGAGGCAGGCGGAAUUCCGUGUGUAGCGGUGAAAUGCUUAGAUAUCACGAAGAACUCCGAUUGCGAAGGCAGCCUGCUGGACUGUAACUGACGCUGAUGCUCGAAAGUGUGGGUAUCAAACAGG
rnacentral:rRNA from 1 species